GCCGUCUGGUCCUGGGGCCUUGUGGGUUUUGGAGAUUUUCAGGGCCGCCGCCAGUUCCUCCACCGAGAGGGGUUGGUCUAGGUCGUCUCGCAUUUCUGCAGUCAGCUUUUUAUCUAUAUUUUGUUCCAGGAAUUCAGUGAUUUGGCGGGUCUGUCGUGUGCGGGCCGCGUCAGUAUUGGGUUGGGGAAUGUUGUAUAGGUCCGUGUAGUAGUCUACGAACGC